UCAGGGAUGCGAAGACCAGCCUCCCAAACCCAACCUACCCGCCUGGAACCAGCUGUGGCAGACUAGGCCGUAGAGCAGCUGCUGGAACAGAGACCUGCAGAGCGAGGCGCACCGAGUCAGCGGAGGCCAGAGCCUCGCCUCACUUGCAAGCCCGCGGGGCCAGCCAGGGCCUCUUCUGCCUUCCUUCCGCAGGACUCACCAGGCGGCAGCAGAGGUCCACCAGGCCAGGUUAAGGAAGUCUGCAACGGUGGGCUGUGGAGAGGGGCAUGGCUGCACUGCUGCCUCUCCCCUUAGGCCGCCCCCAGCUGUCUGAUGUCACAGGAACACACCUGCGGGCCUCAGUGUGCGCCCACUUAGGCUGAGCUCCACGGCUGUGCUGACAAGGACGCCCACGGUGUCGUUCUCCAGUUCCAGCGGCCUUAACAAGGCUGAGUGCCACAUUUGAGAGGGGCCUUGGAGAACACAGCCUAGCUUUGCCUGAGCAGCCAGGAUGCUGAGGCUUCCCACCUGCUGCUGGGUACCCUGG